rnacentral:rRNA from 1 species
AUUGAACGCUGGCGGCAGGCCUAACACAUGCAAGUCGAACGAGUGGCGGACGGGUGAGUAAUGUCUGGGAAACUGCCUGAUGGAGGGGGAUAACUACUGGAAACGGUAGCUAAUACCGCAUACCAUCAGAUGUGCCCAGAUGGGAUUAGCUAGUUGGUGGGGUAACGGCUCACCAAGGCGACGAUCCCUAGCUGGUCUGAGAGGAUGACCAGCCACACUGGAACGGAGACACGGUCUAGACUCCACCGGGAGGAAGCAGUGGGGAAUAUUGCAAAAGGGGGGCAAGCCGGAUGCAGCCAGGCCGCGUGUAUGAAGAAGGCUUUCGGGUUGUAAAGUACUUUCGGCGGGGAGGCGUUACCCGCAGAAGAAGAACCGGCUAACUCCGUGCCAGCAGCCGCGGUAAUAC